rnacentral:lncRNA from 1 species
CGAGAAGUAAAUUAAACUUAAAUAAAUUACAGAAUUGACAAAAGCAUGAAAUUAAGGUGAAAGGAUAGGUGACAGAUUAGCUAGAGGGUUCUUCUCCACACAUGACACAUAUGCAACCUAAAUUGAUUUUCAGUUGUUCUUUAAUAAAUUGUAACUCUCAAUACUUCAGAUUAACCGUGAACAGCACUUUUUUAAUCUUCAAGUUUUCCUUAAGUUAUUGAAU